rnacentral:rRNA from 1 species
AUUGAACGCUGGCGGCAUGCUUUACACAUGCAAGUCGGACGAGUGGCGAACGGGUGAGUAAGGCAUCGGAACGUACCGAGUAAAGGGGGAUAACUGUCCGGAAGGACAGCUAAUACCGCAUAUUAUUCGAGCGGCCGAUGUCGGAUUAGCUGGUUGGCGGGGUAAAGGCCCACCAAGGCGACGAUCCGUAGCGGGUCUGAGAGGAUGAUCCGCCACACUGGGACUGAGACACGGCCCAGACUCCUACGGGAGGCAGCAGUGGGGAAUUUUGGACAAUGGGCGCAAGCCUGAGCCAGCCAUGCCGCGUGUGUGAAGAAGGCCUUCGGUUUGUAAAGCACUUUUGUCAGGGAGGCGGUACCUGCAAAAUAAGCACCGGCUAACUACGUGCCAGCAGCCGCGGUAAUUC